rnacentral:rRNA from 1 species
GAUGAACGCUAGCUAUAGGCUUAACACAUGCAAGUCGAGGGACCGGCGCACGGGUGAGUAACGCGUAUCCAACCUGCCCAUAACUAAGGGAUAACCAAGCGAAAGUUGGACUAAUACACUAUGGUUAUGGAUGGGGAUGUGUCUGAUUAGCUUGGUGGCGGGGUAACGGCCAGCCAAGGCCACUAUCAGUGGGGGUGCUGAUAGGGUGGACCACCACAUGGUAACGGGUACACGGUCCAAACUUGUACGAGAGGUAGCAGUGAGGAAUAUUGUUCACUGGACGCAAGUCUGAACCAGCCAAUUAGCGUGCAGGAUGACGGCCUAUGGGUUGUAACCUGCUUUUAUAUGGGGAGAGGUACCAUAUGAAUAAGGACCGGCUAAUUCCGUGCCAGCAGCCGCGGUAAUAC